UGAAAUAAUAUCUUGCAAUUAACUUGGCUAUUAAUCGCAAAUUGAAUAGGAAAAUUGGGAGUUACCUUUUGAGUGAGGAUUUGAUGAGGAGUGAUGAGAGGGUUUUGAAUAAAAUAUCAUUUUGAUCACCUUUGACUUUUCCUUGAUUGAGCUGUUAUUGUUUGUUGCAUGUGCGUGUGAAUACCGGUGUGUCUCGAGGGUAAUUUUAUCCUUUUAACACAAAAGUACAUGUGUCGCCUCCAUAAUUUUCUUGAUUAUUUUUUUGCUCCACAGACAUAUUAUACGAUAUCCUACACUAACUGUUACUAGAGUAAGCUGGAUAAUAUUAUUAUGUCAUCACUGAGUAGUCUCGAAGUAAUGACAAGCUAAGUAUAAUAGUAUAAUCAUGUUAUUACGAAGUAAUCUUGCCAUAUUGACAAGCUGAGAGUAUAUCUGUAUAAUCAUGUCAUUACAAAGUAAUCUCGACGUACUGACAAGUUGAGUAUAACUAUAUAAUCAUACCAUUACAGAGUAAUCUUGACGUGAUAAGUUGAGUAUAUAACAUACACGUGUAAGUGAAUCUCAUGUCGUAAACAAGCUAAGUAUAUAUCAUACACGGGCAAGGUGGAUGUUAUGUCAGUAGACAAGCUAAGUAUAUAUAUUGUACGCGUGUAAGCUGAAUAUGACAAUUGUAAGCUGAAUAUGACAAUUGUAAGCUGGUACAAUACUCUAAACCUGUGCAGGGUAUGUUUACCACAAGAUAAGUAAUAAUAGAGAAAUCAAUAUUUAUAUUUGUCUAGGCACGCUUAAAAUUUAAUAGAGAAACAUUUUUUAAAGUAAAAGUCUACUCACACCUUCGACUAGCUCUCUUCGGAGGAGCCUUGUCUUUGCCAGUUGGUAAAGUCUGUACCCAGCCCAAUCACAAAAAUGUAACGUCUCGAACUCCAAGAUGUGGUAUCAAUUAAUUUUUAUUUAAUAUAAUGGUUACAUCUUUCGAGUUAAUCUCCUUACAUACUCUAAGAAUAGAUCAAGCUAAUCGUAGUUCAUCGAGAAAUUCAACAUACACUACAUAAUGUGAGGGGCAAAUGAUGGAGACAUCUUAACCACAUUAGAUUUAGAAUUACAUUAAUGCAGUUAUCCAACAUGAAUAUCUUUUUGGUGGACUUGCUGUGCUGUAUGAUAUCUCCACAUGUUGGCCAAAACAUCGGCAACAAUUCCAUUUUACAAGUAUGAACUUACUCGUACAAAUUGGUCACUAAUCCCCUUAUGCUAAAUAUGUCCACGCAUGGUACCACAGUUCUUGCACUCAAGAUCCUUAACGUUCGAUUAUCUCAUUCUCUAAUAUCGUUUGUAUAAAUAAAACACUGAUCCGUACCUAGAGAAAAUUUUUAGACCGCAUUUUUUUUUUCUUAUUUGUUAUAAUUUUGUUGUGAAACCCUAUCAACAUCCAUAUUGACUGUGUUUGAAGCACUAUCGCACUGUCGUUUAUAGGGAGGCAGUCCCCAAGAGUUGGACACAAAUGCAAGACAUACAACACUCACAAACAAAAAUUUAAGCAAGAGCUCAAAUCAAAUCCACAAUUUCAGGGAUAAUUUUGAACUCACAAAAUAUUUUCACCGUUAGAAUUGAAUUAAGUAACAUUUUGUGUAUUCAAAAAGAGCGUUGGACCAUGGCACCAGGAUGUCCAAAAUGACCUAAAUGCCCUCUAUGUGUAAUCAUGUCAAUUGCUUGACGUGCACAAAUUUUGUUGAACUUGGAUUAUCUCCCCUCGCAUCCCCUCCUUUUCAAUCUAGACCGCUCAAAAGAAAUCUGAUGGCUUGAAAUUGUCCCACAUAUUUAAUGAGCUUAAUUUUAUUUUUUAUUGCUUUUUUUCAACAAUUCUUCCUCUUCUCCACUCAUGUUCACACCACCAUUUACUUUCCUUCUUAUACAUGCUAGUCAUGAUUGGUUCCUCAAGUCGAUCUUGAUGCCGUAACAGAAAUUAACAGUUAUCUCGAAGGUCUCAAAGAUAUUGGGGAUGUCGGAGGGAAAUCUUGAAUUAGAUUGUCGUUCUCAUUGAUUUGUUCAACAACCCUCACAUGCGUUAUACAACAAGACUGGAUGGGAGGGAGAGAAAUAGGAAGAGAGAGAAUGCUCCUCCAAUUUGAUUUCAACAUAUGUCAACGAAGACACAUUACCCCUUGAAGAAAAUUUGAAAUUUAUCAAACCACAAAAAAUGUAUUAUGUUUCAACGUAUCUUGUGAAUCUAAAUUUUCGACUGCUAAAUCUUGGUCAUUGAAAUGACAAUAAAUUCCAAAAUAUGAGAUAUACAACAACAUACUGGAAGUUUCUAUCAAACCAUGCCAAAACAUGAGGACAUUAAACCGAAAACAACUUACAUUUAACGAGUUCACUACCAUCAUAGUGUCUCUAAAAAUACAUUUUUAUAUGAAGAAAAUCUUACACAUAACAAUGUAUCAUUAAACCGUAACGCCACACAGUCGUGAACGCUUUCAAUUUUACUCUCUCCAUCAAACCCUAUAAGUCAAAAACAAAAAUUUAAAAGCAAAUGUUAAAAUCAGAAAGGGGUCAGAGAAGGAAGGUCCAAAAAAGGCACUGAAACUGAAAGGGAAAGGAGUGCGUGGUGCCCAGAUCGGCAGAUGGAUACCAUUCAAAUGGAUUUCAGAAGCCAUGUGAGGGACUGACUCUGUGGCCCUUCCUUUAUAUAUUAACCCUUGUUUAAAACAAAAAUUACAAAAUAAGACAAAGAGCCCUCCAAAAGUAACCCCCUUUACUCGCAUGAAUGGAAACAACUACGACUUUUCCUUCUUUUGUUAUUAUUUUUACCCCUCCUUUUUGUCAUAAUUUUCCAAAUGCGCAUAAAGUUUUAUUUUCUUUUAUGUUCAAACAGCCUGCUCAUAUAAUGGAGAAGAGAUCAUUUCCAAAUCUUUUCUACUAAGAUCACCAGAUCAAGUGAUCUGGACAUUUGAAAUUUCAUUCAAUAAUUAAAAAUUAUUAUAACUUUUAAAGGGUUAAAACAGAUAGACCGUUGAAUGAAAUUUCAAAUACCCGAAUCACUUGAUCCGAUGAUCUUGAUGAAAAAGAUCCAGAGAUGAUCUCUUCUCUGUAUAAUGCAAUUGUAGAUUAAGCCUAAAGAUGGAGCCAGAGGGACUCGGCUUUUUACCCUCCCUCCACUGAGUCAUCUCCUCCGCUGCUUUUUACUUUUGGGGGCUCCAUUUCAGUACAAUUGUUAUGCUUCUGCUACACUUGCUCACUACUUUAUUGGCUUUCUACAAAGAAGAUUUUUUUCCCUACUAAUCUCUAUGUUCUUCAUUUUCUUUUUACUUGAACGGCUACGUUAAAACAAACUACGUUAACAUCUUAUAUUAUUUUUUUAAUAAAAACACAAAGCCAAAAAACAAAAUGUGAAAGAAGGAGAAGAAAGAAGAGAAGACAAAAGGGGAAAGAAACCUACUCCAUCUACAACAAUCACCUCUCAAUCUGAUUCAGACUUUUCAUCUCUCUAGCACAAAAAGGAGAGCCCCUUGAAUCGAACAUGUACAGUCUCAUAGUAAUUCGUGACAUUCUAAUUUAAUAAUUUAUCUUCAUGCCGAAUAAAAAAACUUACAUAUAAUUUUAUAUUUAUUUACUUAGCCAUAAACCGGUUACAUAUAAGUCUGAAGUGGUAAAAUAAAAAAGAAAACUAAUGAAAAGGAUUUGAAAACUUUGAGC
rnacentral:lncRNA from 1 species